GACGAACGCUGGCGGCGUGCUUAACACAUGCAAGUCGAACGAUGAAGCUGGAGCUUGCUCCGGUGGAUUAGUGGCGAACGGGUGAGUAACACGUGAGCAAUCUGCCCUUGACUCUGGGAUAACUGCGGGAAACUGUAGCUAAUACCGGAUACGAGGCUCGAAGGCAUCUUCGGGUCUGGAAAGAAUUUCGGUCAAGGAUGAGCGCGCGGCCUAUCAGCUGGUUGGUAAGGUAAUGGCUCACCAAGGCGACGACGGGUAGCCGGCCUGAGAGGGUGACCGGCCACCCUGGGACUGAGACACGGCCCAGACUCCUACGGGAGGCAGCAGUGGGGAAUAUUGCACAAUGGGCGAAAGCCUGAUGCAGCAACGCCGCGUGAGGGAUGAAGGCCUUCGGGUUGUAAACCUCUUUUAGCAGGGAAGAAGCGAAAGUGACGGUACCUGCAGAAAAAGCACCGGCUAACUACGUGCCAGCCGCCGCCGUAA
rnacentral:rRNA from 1 species